rnacentral:rRNA from 1 species
AGAAUGACUCUCAGCAACGGAUAUCUUGGCUCUUGCAACGAUGAAGAACGCAGCGAAAUGCGAUACCUAGUGUGAAUUGCAGAAUUCCGCGAAUCAUUGAGUCUUUGAACGCAAGUUGCGCCCGAGGCUUGUCCCGAGGGCAUGCCUGCCUGAGCGUCACCGC